AGAAGGACACUUAUGAACUGGAGCUAAUGUUGGCAGAAGAGAGAAAGCUAUGGCAGAGAGAAAAGCGUCAGCUUCAACUAAAGAACAUUGAAUUGGAGAAUCAGAUUGAUAUGAAAAAGAAUGAGCUGGAGCACUGUCGCAAGGAGCUACAGCAUAUGAAUGAGAGAGCAGAAUCAGAGCAGAAGAAGGCAGAAAAUUUGAUAGCG